CAAAAAGUCUUUAAAAGGGCAUUGCAAUAAAUCUAUUAAAUUUCUACGUGAAAUUAAGAGAAUUGGGAAUUUUAAAUUUGUAAUUGUCUUCUAGUAAUAGAAAUUUAAUUCUUAACAAGGAAAGAGAACACUGACUGCUUAAUACCAUUGUAUUAUACAGAGAAGCAUGCUGAAAACAAUCGUUUAGGAUCCUUCGCUUAAAUUAGCUUCAUUAAUUGAAGCUUUUCGAAACUUUCACUGAUUAUUGUUUUGAUAAAAUAACAUUUCACUGGAAGAUUUUAUCAAAUCUAUACUACAUUGUUAAGAUGAUUAUCGUAUCGAAAUUUGCAAAAACAGAAGGAACGUAAAAUUAAUUAGGCACGUGAAAGUAGAAAUACUGUAGAAAUAUAAUACACGCUUUAACCAAAACUCUUUUAGACGAUAAAAUAUAAAACGUAUAAGUAAUUCGAUAUUUGUGUAGGCGUUAUUGUUUAUGAAAGUAAACAGAUUUAUAGUCGAUCAAACAUCGACAAAGUUACACAUAGUUGAUUAAAAGUUGACAAAAACCACGCAAGUAAGAAACUAUUUUUGUUUCUACGUUCAUAGCGAUCGCGUAAAGUUUCCCCUGCUUGGCAAAUCUCGAUGCAACAUUGUAAAGCGAUACUUAAGAACUAGCUUUCGGAUUUCUUUGGCACCAAAAUGACGAGAUUACUGUAGUACCAGAAAGCGACCAAAUUCUAUUGGAAUCCUAACCGUGUCGUUGUAGUCGGCUAGCCUCGAUUGAGUACUGCGCGCAUGACUAGAAUAUAACAGUAUACGUACAUUGGGAUCUCACCGUUCAAUUAUCAUUUUAAAGCGACAAAACCUUCGACAAUUAUUUUCAUUCGUAUAUGAUUUUAUUGAAAAUGGUUGAUUUGGCCAAAGUUCCUUAAUUAAAAGUGCAACGUACAGAAACCUAGUUUUUACGUUAUUUUCUUUACGAUUAUGAAACGAACAAAACCUGAAUAAAAAAUCGCUUCUAUAGCUACUAAACGUUAACGUUUCUACUAAAUAUUAAUAACAAAUAAAAAUUCUCCAUAUCGCGCGUAUCCUGUGUCCCUUCACACCUUGAAUGCAUAAAGAUCAUCGAUCUAAUUUAUUAUGCAACGUAACGUCACUCGAACGAUCAACGCAAAAGGAUAGAUGCGUUUUGGGUCCGUUGACCGGAGGUAUCGUCGCUCGAGUUUCUCGUGUUUGUACAAAUAAGUAACUGUACAUCGGGAUUUACUUGCGUGGUCCCCGAAGCGAGCGGUCUCGAUGCCGCGCCGCGAAGAGGGAAAAAGAGGCAGGUCGCGCACCGAGUAUUCAUUCUCCGAGGAAACCAGUCAUUACGUAACUUAGUUAAUGCCAAGACCUAUCCCGGUACCACAGAAAUGUACAGUUAUAACUCGUGGCCCGAUCCCGUGAAAUAAUAAUAAGUAAAACGUAGGCAGGGGAAUGGAGCGAAGAAUGAGAGAGACGUCGAAGCUAAGAAGGAGAAGAACCCUGGGGCAUUGUCGCGUAAAAUGCACCGGUGACCUAGCAACGUUGUCCGCAUAACAAUGAAUCCGCAUCCCGCUUCACGUUUUCGAAUUCAUUUUCCCCGGGUAUUUGCCUCGCUACGCGAGAAUCCGCUUGCCGGUAAAUCGAGAGGGGAAACGCACAGGUGUAAAAGCUUGAAUGGCCUGGAGGUGUUGAAAAAUAUUUACCAGCUGAUUCGAGGAUAUUCACAUACACAUAUUUCCCGUCAUAAGCAAUCGGUACGUUCAUAAAGAUAUAAACCUGCAUAAACGCUCUGGUAGCCAGAAUCUUGAUGCAUUAAAGCCUUGUUCGGAUUAAUCGAGCUACACGAGUUUAAGAGACCUUACGAGGAAAAGGAUGGAAAUUUGAUAAGAUAUUUUAUGUCAAGUAAGUCAUCAGGUAACGAGAUAGCCGAGGAUAAGAGGAACGGAAAAUGACGAAGCGGUAGACUGAAGAAGGAUGCAGAUGUUCCACUGACGAUGAGUUACCAGAGCCGAGACGGAAGUUGUCAGGCCGGAUGCCGAUAGUAAGACUGCCUCAGUGCCUCGUAAAAACCUGCAUUUGGAUGAUAAACUUACUGCUUUCUUUAGAGGGGAGUCACUCUGUUGUACAUAUGUCAAAUUCUGUGUCUUCAUGUUCCGUUACGAAACUCCAUUUCAUCGUGAUAAUUUGCUGAAUUACAUUUUACUAUCGCGCAAAAACUUAUUCUAAACUUUCUUAUCGAUAAAGUUUUCAUUCCAAAUUUACUAUAAAGACCGUUAACUAUAAAAACUCAAAAUUUUAGUAAAAAGUAAUAUAAAUGAAAUUUAGUGGUAUGUUUCCUUUAUACUUCCAGGAAAACUGUUAUAUAUUUUAUUAACAAAAAUAAAAUAAAAAGAAGUUUGAAAAAAAGUUUGAUUAUUUGAUUAUUCUCUUCUGUAUAUCAUUUAUGUUCUGUAUAUUGCUCUUUAUAAAUUGGGUUCAUUAUUUUCUCCAACGCGUCGGCCAUUCCCCGAAACGUUUUGCUUUAUUAUUUUUUGGUAAUUUUUAAGUUUUUAAUAACGAUAUUUUUUUUCAACGAUAAAUCGUUAAC